rnacentral:rRNA from 1 species
GUGUCAGCCGCCGCGGUAAUACGGAGGGUGCGAGCGUUAUCCGGAAUCACUGGGUUUAAAGGGUGCGUAGGCGGCCUGGUAAGUCAGGGGUGAAAGUCUGCCGCUUAACGGUAGAAUUGCCUUUGAUACUGUCAGGCUUGAAUGGGCGCGAGGCAGGCGGAAUGUGACAUGUAGCGGUGAAAUGCAUAGAUAUGUCAUAGAACACCAAUUGCGAAGGCAGCUUGCCAUAGCCUUAUUGACGCUGAGGCACGAAAGCGUGGGGAGCGAACAGGAUUAGAUACCCUGGUAGUCCACGCCCUAAACGAUGCUUACUCGACGGGCGGUUUUCGGAUUGUGCGUCCAAGCGAAAGCGCUAAGUAAGCCACCUGGGGAGUACGCCGGCAACGGUGAAACUUAAAGGAAUUGGCGGGG